rnacentral:rRNA from 1 species
GCAGGCUGCAACCCGCCCUGCAUGAAGUUGGAAUCGCUAGUAAUCGCGGAUCAGCAUGCCGCGGUGAAUACGUUCCCGGGCCUUGUACACACCGCCCGUCACACCAUGAGAGUCGGGAACACCCGAAGUCCGUAGCCUGACCGCAAGGGGGGCGCGGCCGAAGGUGGGUUCGAUAAUUGGGGUGAAGUCGUAACAAGGUAUC